rnacentral:rRNA from 1 species
AGAGUUUGAUCAUGGCUCAGAUUGAACGCUGGCGGCAGGCUUAACACAUGCAAGUCGAACGAGGUUAGGGAGCUUGCUCCUGAUACCUAGUGGCGAACGGGUGAGUAAUGCUUAGGAAUCUGCCUAGUAGUGGGGGAUAACUUGGGGAAACUCAAGCUAAUACCGCAUACGACCUACGGGUGAAAGGGGGCGCAAGCUCUCGCUAUUAGAUGAGCCUAAGUCGGAUUAGCUAGUUGGUGGGGUAAAGGCCUACCAAGGCGACGAUCUGUAGCUGGUCUGAGAGGAUGAUCAGCCACACUGGGACUGAGACACGGCCCAGACUCCUACGGGAGGCAGCAGUGGGGAAUAUUGGACAAUGGGCGAAAGCCUGAUCCAGCCAUGCCGCGUGUGUGAAGAAGGCCUUUUGGUUGUAAAGCACUUUAAGUAGGGAGGAAAAGCUAAUGGUUAAUACCCAUUAGCCCUGACGUUACCUACAGAAUAAGCACCGGCUAACUCUGUGCCAGCAGCCGCGGUAAUACAGAGGGUGCAAGCGUUAAUCGGAAUUACUGGGCGUAAAGCGCGCGUAGGUGGUUGCUUAAGUCAGAUGUGAAAGCCCCGGGCUUAACCUGGGAACUGCAUCUGAUACUGGGUGACUAGAGUAGGUGAGAGGGGAGUAGAAUUCCAGGUGUAGCGGUGAAAUGCGUAGAGAUCUGGAGGAAUACCGAUGGCGAAGGCAGCUCCCUGGCAUCAUACUGACACUGAGGUGCGAAAGCGUGGGUAGCAAACAGGAUUAGAUACCCUGGUAGUCCACGCCGUAAACGAUGUCUACCAGUCGUUGGGUCUCUUGAAGACUUAGUGACGCAGUUAACGC